rnacentral:lncRNA from 1 species
GGGCAUUCUGAGCAAAGAAAUAGCAUGUUUUCCUAGAAAGAUGACCACCAAUAGUAGUAACUUAGUAUAGAGGCAAGAAACUAGGGCAGGGAAACCAUUUAUUACAACAACAAAUGGGGGUGAAGAUUUAGCUACGAGAAAUGAGCAGCAGGAGACAAUUGGACAGGACGAAAUGGUCACAAUAGAACGUAGGAACAAGCUGGGGCGGGGGGGAGGCAACGGGAAACAUCACUCCUGACUGCGGAGUUUGUAGCUGAGUAGUGAUGUCAUUUGCCAGCGUCGCAGGACAGUUCCCCAAGGAAGCAGACUCCAGGACAGCCUUGGAAACUCGUGGAAAACUCGUGGAAAGAGUUUCAAAUGAAGACUCUUAGGGAGUCAGUGAUUACCUUCAUAAAAGAUAUGAGCUGGAAUGGGGCUGGCAUCAGACUGACAGAAGCUGGUGGAGCACAGAUUCUUUAGCCUGGAAAAGAAGAGACUUCACGAGAACAUGACAAGGUGGUCACAUCCCUAAUGGGCUGUCGCGUAGUGGGAGGUGGAUCGCGCACACGCUACGUAACUCCAGGCAGAACUUCGAUGAAUCAGAAAGGUGUUCUCGAAGCAUGGAAAGAAAGACAUUUCUACACUGUCACAGAUCUCUGGGUGGACACAGGGCAUCAUGGGCCUCCCGAUACUCUUCCAACAGCUGACUCUCUCAGCUGCCACUGAUAGACACCCAACUCACACUGAUGAAACAAAAAAGAAAAUUUGCUUAUUCACCGAACUGGAAAAUCCAGGGCCCUUCAGCCUUCAGAUUAUAACUGGAUCCAGGGGCUCAAAUAUGCGCACCCCAGAGAAGGAUGGUGCAUCCCCAGACAAUCUGUGUGGACAAAGAAAGCUAUGGUUCCCCAAGGGCAAAGGCUGCAAGAAUAAUGGAUAAAGCAUUGAGGAGAGGUGGCCUUGGGUCUCUAACUUAACUGAGCAUAAUCAUCAUCUGGAAAGACAGUGAUGGACACAAAUAUGUGGGCCCUCCCUUCAGGCAUUCUAAUUCAUUGAUCUUAGAAUCCCAAUGGAGAAUUUGCAUUUUUAGCGAGUGUCCUUUCUUGUUUUAUAGAACUGUUUGAGUGUUAAAUGAGAUAAUUUAUGUGAGACUCCUUUGUUAAAUGUCAUGGAAAUGUUAACAAUCAUUCAUCUAGUCUACAGUGAAUUUGCCAAAGUCAACUAUAUGUGAAUUUGCCAGUAUCAUGGAAAACAUCAGUG